GCUUAUAAAGAAAGGUGGAGGGACGAGCCCUAUGAAACCUUGGCAACCUGUCUUAGUGGACAAGGUGCCAAUACUUGGUCUGCGAGACGGUUAUAAGAUAA
rnacentral:ncRNA from 1 species